rnacentral:lncRNA from 1 species
UAACUGCAAGUACCUACAAAGAGCAUAGCUUGUGCUCCACAAAUGCUUAUUUUUAAAGUUAAAUUUGGGUUGAGCUAUCUUUCUUUGUAGAACAUUCCAGAUCUCUCCAAAUUUUACUGUGGCUUUUAGUAAGGGGCCAUGAUGAGAAUGUAGCAGGAUUGGGUAAGUUGUCUAGCACAUUCCAAUUGGACCUGUGUGAAAUGGCACUGGACAAGGGAAGACUAAUAUUUAUUGAUGCUCUAUUAUGAGCCAGGAAUAGUACCAUGUGCUUGACAUGUGCUAUCUCAUUUCAUUCUCAAAACAACCACACAAAGGAGAUGAUGUAAUCAUCUCUAUUUUAGAGAUGGAAAAACCGGGGCCACAAAGUUGCUGAAUGGCAGAGCUGAGUUGGUAGAUCUGUUUGAUUUCGAUGCCAGUUACCUUGCUUGAAUGUGUCCCUCAUCUGGAGGAAAUUCCACAGAAGUAUCCUAUGGAAGUUACUGAAAAGUUUAUGUUAAGCAGAUACAGAUUCCUUGGAGCCUGACCUGAUGCUCUGAUGUUUACUUUUCUUUGUGUGAGUGUGAGGAGAGGUGUACUUGAAGGAGGAGUAGGUAUGAUAAUGGAUAUAUUAGAAUUCAUUCGUGUUCCCUGGGAUAAGAUCUUGGUUCUGUCUCCUCCUUGCUCUCCACAGAAACACCCCCUGCCAUAUCAGCCAGGUCAGAGCUGCAGCAGGCUCCAGCAACUGUUUGAAAGUCUUGAGCAUUGUCAGAUCUCGGAGGAGAUCAAAAGAAACAGUCAAGCCGUAUGGAGAGGGGAGGAGGCCAGAGAGAACUGACCUGCCACAUUCUUUCAGACCUCCAAGCUGGCAGGAGACUGCAUUCCCUGAACACCACUCCUAAACCUCCUGGAUACAGCAGUCUCCACCCUGGGCCCAGAGGCUUCUCUGGGGGAAAGAGGCAAAGACACGCCAGGAAAAUGAUCAUUUCAGGAACUGUGAAGUGUUAAAGAGAAAGUAUAUUAGAACUAUUAUGAAGUCACAGGAGAAGCCAUAUGAGUUGUCAGUGGUUGCUGUCUUUGCUACCCUUUCUUAAUGAUGCUGGCUCCCAUAUCUCAGCUUCAACUAGAGUCCUUUCAUAGAAUUGUCCCUCUCCCUCUCCCUCCCCCUCCCUCCCCCUCCCCCUCCCCCUCUCCCCACGGUCUCCCUCUCCCUCUCUUUCCACGGUCUCCCUCUGAUGCCAAGAUGAAGCUGGACUGUACUGCUGCCUUCUCGGCUCACUGCAACCUCCCUGCCUGAUUCUCCUGCCUCAGCCUGCCCAGUGCCUGGGAUUGCAGGCGCGUGCCGCCACACCUGACUGGUUUUCGUAUUUUUUUGGUGGAGACGGGGUUUCGCUGUGUUGGCCUGCCUGGUCUCCAGCUCCUAACCGCGAGUGAUCUGCCAGCCUCGGCCUCCUGAGGUGCUGGGAUUGCAGACGGAGUCUCUCAUUCACUCAGUGCUCAAUGUUGCCCAGGCUGGAGUGCAGUGGCGUGAUCUCGGCUCGCUACAACCUCCACCUCUCAGCUGCCUGCCUUGGCCUCCCAAAGUGCCGAGAUUGCAGCCUCUGCCCGGCCGCCACCCCGUCUGGGAAGUGGGGAGCGUCUCCCUGGCCGCCCAUCUUCUGGGAUGUGAGGAGCCCCUCUGCCCGGCUGCCCAGUCUGGGAAGUGAGGAGUGCCUCUUCCCGGCCGCCAUCCCGUCUAGGAAGUGAGGAAUGUCUCUGCCCGGCCACCCAUCAUCUGGGAUGUGAGGAGCGCCUCUGCCCGGCCACGACCCUGUCUGGGAGGUGAGGAGCAUCUCUGCCCGGCAGCCGCCCCGUCUGGGAAGUCAGGAGUGUCUCCGCCCGGCAGCGCCCAGUCUGGGAGGUGGGGGGCAGCCCCCACCUGGCCAGCCGCCCCGUCCGGGAGGGAGGUGGGGGCACCUCCGCCUGGCCGCCGCCCCGUCCGGGAGGUGGGGGGCGCCUCUGCCCGGCCGCCCCUUCUGGGAAGUGAGGAGCCCCUUUGCCCGGCUGCCACCCCGUCUGGGAGGUGUACCCAACAGCUCAUUGAGAACGGGCCAUGAUGACGAUGGCGGUUUUGUCGAAUAGAAAAGGGGGAAAUGUGGGGAAAAGAUAGAGAAAUCAGAUUGUUGCUGUGUCUGUGUAGAAAGAAGUAGACAUAGGAGACUCCAUUUUGUUCUGUACUAAGAAAAAUUCUUCUGCCUUGGGAUGCUGUUAAUCUAUGACCUUACCCCCAACCCUGUGCUCUCUGAAACAUGUGCUGUGUCCACUCAGGGUUGGAUGGAUUAAG